rnacentral:rRNA from 1 species
UACGGGAGGCAGCAGUGGGGAAUAUUGGACAAUGGGGGAAACCCUGAUCCAGCCAUGCGGGGUGUGUGAAGAAGGUCUUCGGAUUGUAAAGCACUUUAAGUUGGGAGGAAGUGUAGUAACUUAAUACGUUGGUAUAUGACUUUGACUUACCGA